CCAGGUACGUGACCUUCAAAUACAUUCCUUACAAUCCUUGAAUAGAUACCAAUACAACUAUAACCAUUAACUCAUAAUACACACUUAUUCGAUCAGCUUUCCUUUUUCUUUGUUCGUGCCUGAGCCUUCAGGUUGCUCAUACAUAACUGAAAACAUUUAAUUUAAGCAAGGAUGAGCAUUUAAGUGCCCAGCAAGUAAUAGCAAUUAUAUAUAAGCUGAAAGAAUAUAAGUAUUCUCUUUACAUAACACUUCUACAACGAAUUGAAAGUUGUGAAGUAAUCUGUACUGAUAAAAAAUUCACAUAACAACUCUCUUUCAAAUUCUUUAAAUUUGGCUCUGGCUCUACCCUUGAAUAGGGUUUAAGAAACAUACUAUGAACAUUCUUUUCAUUUUCGAAAAGGUUUAGCGGAAUUCUAUCCUCAAACCGUCAUAACUUACGGGCACGGAGGGUGAUCAGCCCCGUUGUACCCUGUAUUGAUCAAUACUACAUAACUUGAACGAAAUUCAUCGCUCACUCUAUCCGCCUUGCGCAAAAAUCUUCCCAUAUAGGGAUGUUCAUACAUGCCUGGUUCCAAACCCGAAGGUUUUUAAUCUUGCUCAACAAUAAUAUGUAAUUCAACAUAUAUAUACGGGUAAUUGACAAAGGUGUAUCAACAUGUGAACAAAUGCCAUGAUUAUCCAAGUGGGGACACUUGUAUAACCAUUUAUAGAAAUCAAUGAACAGAAUAUAUAUCUGAGCUAACAUGUCGAUAAUCAAAGAGUACAUAAUCUGUACAGGGAUAGAAUAAUUCUGAAACUUCUUACUCAUGUCCAUUGCAUAAAGGAAGUGCAAAGGUAGGAUACUUGCCUGAUUCGCUGAUUACAAAUCUCAACUUAGGUUUUAUCUCUUUAUCACAACCUAUCAAUAAUCAGAUCAUUCGUUCGAUUAGAACAAUAUAUCUUAACACAUAGUACUGUCUAUUACAGUCAGCACAUAGUCUAAUCACAUAAUCACAGUGAUCAUACUUUUAGUUCCUAUUCUAUACUUGAAAUAUUUUUAUACAUUUUUCAAAUAUCUCAUCCAUGCUCUUACAGUAGUCUUUUCUUUCUUUUAUAAGGUCUGACAUUUGUCGGCGUACCGACAGCUUUAUCGGGUAAAUACUGAGUCUAAGACUCUUAUUCUAUACCUCAACAUCUGUAAAUAUCAGACAUCUUAUUUUUAAUCAUUUUCGCAAUUUCCAGAAAUUGAAAAAUUUAAAAUAAUUCAAAUCUGUCACUAAAGGGCCUAUAGUGAUAUAACUGUUACUAUAGGUGUUCUUCUUCAAAUUCAGAACUUCAUAAUCGGUUCUCAAGUCAGCUAGUUUGGCCGGCUAUAACUUUCAAAUAUCGGAAUCAUAAUUAAAUGAUUUAAACAUUAAACAAUUCCAUUAUCAUUAAUAGUUUAAUUAAUACUAAACUAUUAAUGAAACCAUUGCCAAAAUAUAAAAGUUAUUUAUAAUAACUCAAACUAUUUUUAAAACAUUUAUAUUACCCAAAUAAUUACCAUUAAUAUUUAAAUAUUAAUGUACUAUUUAUCCAAAUAUUAAAAGUCAUUAAUUAUAACUUAAAAUAUUUUUAAAUCCUUAAUAUCCUCUUUAAAUGGUUUUUAAAUAAGUAAAACCAUUUUUAAACUAUUUAUUUAAUAUUAAUCAUUAAAUAAACUAAAUAUCAUUAAUAUUAUCUUAAUAUCAUUAAUAUUUAAUUAUUAAUGAAAUUAUCAUUUAAAUAUUAAAAGUUAUAUUUUAUAACUUAAAAUAUUUUUAAAUACCUUAUUUUCAUUUAAAAUGAUUUUUAUAAUAUUAAAAUCAUUUUUAAACUAAAUUAUUUAAUAUAAUCAUUAAAUAACUUUAAUAUCAUUAAUAAUUAUUAAUUAAUGAAAUUCAUCACAAAAUAUUAAAAGUCAUCACAAAUAACUCAUUUACAUAAUCAAUUCCAAGCCAAAAUAAACAUAGUAAACUAACUAGUUUAUUAACAACACUAACUAAACUUCAAAAAUUCAAACUUUAACUAACAAUUAAAAAUAAUAACAUUACAAAAAUUAAAUAAGAAACAUACCCGGAAAUACGAAUUCCACAGACUGAAUACGCACUUCCACGCCAAAAUUUAACUAAGGAGAUCUUUAUAAAAAGUUCUCCCACAACAAAGCCUUUCUCAAAAAUUGGAGGCC
rnacentral:lncRNA from 1 species